rnacentral:lncRNA from 1 species
UUGACUCUUCAUGUGGUUUGUGUUUGGACGUUUCUGGGUCUUUCUCUCUCUCUCUCUCGAAUUUGUGUCUCUAUCCUUUCUUCUUCUUCGUGACUUUUGCAAUCUAACCGCAAACUACUAGUCUUUCUAGUGAAUCUGAGUGUGUUGAGUCUUUUUGAUUCUUAGUUCUUGAUUUGGAAGGAUAUCAUUUGGGUUCUUGGAGAGAUCUGGGUCCACUAAGUAGCUGCCUCUGUUUUCUUGUUUCUGGGUUGUAAUUCUAUGAACCCUCACAUUGUAUAGAAGGGUACAAUGCUUUGUUCUGAGCUAAAAUCAAUGAGAACUUAAUGCCUUUGUGUUGUCUGUGUUCUGAAGUUUUAAGGUCAUUCUUUUGGGUCUUGCUUUGUAACAAUACAUGCCCACAAAGGUUCACGUUAAUGUGCCAAAUUGCUGACCUCCACCAUUCUACUUCAAACUUGUCCACAAAGGUUCGAGUUAAUUUGCCCAAUAGUCGACCUCCACCAUUGUACUUCAAACUUGUCGGCAAAAGGUUCAAAUUGAUUCUCCCAAAGUUUGUUCCCAUCAUUAGAGUUAGAUGUGUGCACAUUGGCUGGGCUUCCUCCCAUAGUUGAGAUCAAAUUGCACGGGGAACGAACCUUCCGAAACUAGAAUCAAAUUCAUAGUAUUCAGCUGUUUAAUAAGCAUGCCAUUGUGUAGUCGAGUAAUAUCUGCAAAUAUUGCACAGUGAAAUUGAUUUUAUUUAGCUGUAUGUACUUAUCAAAGUGAAUACAAAUGCACCAGAAUACAAAAUCAACUGUAUAAAUUUUUGUUCAGAAUCUUGCUACCACCCAUUCUACAUAUACCAUUAGAAGUAUCACAUUUCGGAAGGAAAAAAACCUACACGGCACAUCAGAGCUCACAAUGACUGUGCACAAUAUCAUGAACCUCUAGGAAUGUCAAUGAGCCAAAAGUCGAGGUUCGAACUCGACUCGAGUAAAAAUAGUUUGCGCUUUUUUUGGCCCGUAGUCAAGCUUUCACUCAACCAAAAAAUCUAGACACGACAUGAGUUUUCAGCUUGAGCCUUGUCAAACUAAACCACAC